UACAGAGGUGGCAAGCGUUGUUCGGAAUUAUUGGGCGUAAAGAGCUCGUAGGUGGCUUGUUGCGUCGACCGUGAAAACCCGGGGCUCAACUUCGGGCUUGCGGCCGAUACGGGCGGGCUAGAGUUCGGUAGGGGAGACUGGAAUUCCUGGUGUAGCGGUGAAAUGCGCAGAUAUCAGGAGGAACACCGGUGGCGAAGGCGGGUCUCUGGGCCGAUACUGACGCUGAGGAGCGAAAGCGUGGGGAGCGAACAGG
rnacentral:rRNA from 1 species